UUUUUUUUAUUAAUUACUUAAAAAUUUCUCAUUGAUGCAACCUGACUGAAGAUACAAUUGGCUUAAUGUAAAGGAUACAAAUUUGAAAGGCCGCGGUAGUAGCAUCUGCUAAGGAAACUGGGCGUGCUCUCACACAAGUGUUUUGCUAGAUACCAUCAGUGCAUGGUGAGUAUGAAACAAUGGGUCAGUUACGAUAUCUCAAGCCAUCAAAAGUCUUAUGUGCUGCCAACCUGCUUAGCAGCUCCAGCACUAGUUGUUGUCAUGAAAGAUUCGCCACAACCACAUUGGCCUUUAGAGUUUGGAUUUAUAAAUAUGAACUCAGCCCUCAGUUUGUCAUCAACAAAAUCCAUCUUAGUUCCAAUAAAGUGCAUGAGAGCUUUUGGUUCAAUAAGUAUCUUUACACCCUUUUCCUCAACCAA
rnacentral:misc_RNA from 1 species